UCCGUAGGCGGGUAAUCAAGUCAGAGGUGAAAUCCCACAGCUUAACUGUGGAACUGCCUUAGAUACUGGUUAUCUUGAGUUUUAGUGAAGUAGAUAGAAUGUGUAGUGUAGCGGUGAAAUGCAUAGAUAUUACACAGAAUACCGAUUGCGAAGGCAGUCUACUAACUAACAACUGACGCUAAUGGACGAAAGCGUGGGGAGCGAACAGGAUUAGAUACCCUGGUAGUCC
rnacentral:rRNA from 1 species